AUUGAACGCUGGCGGCAGGCCUAACACAUGCAAGUCGAGCGAGCGGCGGACGGGUGAGUAAUGUCUGGGGAACUGCCUGAUGGAGGGGGAUAACUACUGGAAACGGUAGCUAAUACCGCAUACCAUCGGAUGUGCCCAGAUGGGAUUAGCUAGUAGGUGGGGUAAAGGCUCACCUAGGCGACGAUCCCUAGCUGGUCUGAGAGGAUGACCAGCCAAACGGGAACUGAGACACGGUCCAGACUCCUACGGGAGGCAGCAGUAGGGAAUAUUGCACAAUGGACGCAAGCCUGAUGGAGCCAUGCCGCGUGUGUGAAGAAGGCCUUCGGGUUGUAAAGUACUUUCAUCGGGGAGGCGUUACCUGCAGAGAAAGCACCGGCUAACUCCGUGCCAGCAGCCGCGGUAAUAC
rnacentral:rRNA from 1 species